UUCCUUGAGGAGUGGCUUCCGGAGCUAACGCGUUAAGUCGACCGCCUGGGGAGUACGGCCGCAAGGUUAAAACUCAAAUGAAUUGACGGGGGCCCGCACAAGCGGUGGAGCAUGUGGUUUAAUUCGAUGCAACGCGAAGAACCUUACCUACUCUUGACAUCCAGAGAACUUAGCAGAGAUGCUUUGGUGCCUUCGGGAACUCUGAGACAGGUGCUGCAUGGCUGUCGUCAGCUCGUGUUGUGAAAUGUUGGGUUAAGUCCCGCAACGAGCGCAACCCUUAUCCUUUGUUGCCAGCGAUUCGGUCGGGAACUCAAAGGAGACUGCCGGUGAUAAACCGGAGGAAGGUGGGGAUGACGUCAAGUCAUCAUGGCCCUUACGAGUAGGGCUACACACGUGCUACAAUGGCGCAUACAAAGAGAAGCGACCUCGCGAGAGCAAGCGGACCUCAUAAAGUGCGUCGUAGUCCGGAUCGGAGUCUGCAACUCGACUCCGUGAAGUCGGAAUCGCUAGUAAUCGUGGAUCAGAAUGCCACGGUGAAUACGUUCCCGGGCCUUGCACUCCCCGCCCGUCAAAA
rnacentral:rRNA from 1 species